UAAAUACCCGUCCAUGGUGUAAUUAUUGUUUAGUGUUUCCUUGCAACAAGGAUCGAGAGGAGGUCCCGGAGCUUCUCCGGCUCCUGCUGUUGUUUUUCGAUAGAAAAUCUUUAGUUUUUUUUAAAAGAAAAAUAACAUUUUCGAAGGGAUGGAGCCUCUCUGUCCUCUUCAAUGGAGCCUUCCACACGAUUUCUCACUCUUUUGUGUUUAAGAAAUCGCGGAUUUCCAUUUGGAAGGAUCUCCGAUGUGGUGGAGGAGUCUUUGGGAUCUCCUCUUUAAACUACAAUCUCUCUCUUUCUUUCCCAAAUCUUGGGACGUCAUGAGAAUGAUGUCUCUACUUUGGUGUAUUGAUCGGGAGAGAAGACACAUAAUUACUACUACUUGAAGGAGGACGAGAGGAUCAUUCUCUAUUUCUUCCUCUCAUGAUUGAUUAAUUAAUUAAUUGAUUAAACCCUCUCUACUUUUAUUAAAACGGCAACGAAAUAGCUCAUAGUCUGUGUAUUUUUUUUUUUAAUUUAUGUUAUUUCUCCCCAUUCAGAUUACUUAAGUUGGUUAUUUUUUUUAAAUAUAUAUGAAGGAGGUGACACAAUUGUCGGGCAAGAGUCAGUUUAAGAUGUUUUCUGCUUGCUUUUUUACCUAUAUUUAUAUGCUGUCCUAACUCAAAAAAAUAAAAAAUACUUGGAAAGGAGUGACAAUAGUAAUAAAUGCAUAACAUCAAAUAAAAUUCAUACAAGGCAAAAAUAAAUAAACAGUACAGUUCAAUAAUUAUAACAUCUUCCCCCAAAAUCCCUUUCAAUUACUUUAUAUUUUUUUGUAGAAAUGAAGCAUCUUAAAGGACUAGUUACUUGGCAAUCCGUGUCUUUCUCCACACACUUUUUCGUAUUUUUUCUAGUUGGAAUGAUUUUAAAUAUUUAUAUUAAUAUGUGCACUCUUCAACCCCCCCUCCCCCACCAUAUCUUCUCGCCCUCAUCUCUUGAUGCCUUUCUUCGACCCCCUUCCCAGAUCCAUAAUGACAAAGAACACAUCACUUGUAAGCUCAUUCCCCUCCUCGUCGAUCAAUUUCCACCAAGAGGAGAUGAACUAUUCCCCCUUAACAUCAAUUACUUUUCCAAUGGGCUUUACUUGUGAGCUUCCGAGUCAAUGGACAAAGAGAGUGGGCCGACUAGGGCUUGACUUUUUCAAGUGAGGUCUGGAUAGGAAUUUAAGGAUUGUAUAUAGUUUUUUAUAGAGGUUCUUCCUCAGUCCAGGAGGCGUUCGACAUAACCGGCAGUCUCGAAUAUCUCCUGGAUUGACUUUGUAAGGCCUUUCUAAACCCCCCAACUCGUACCCCCUUAUAUUUAUAAAUAAUAUAUAUAUAUUAUAAUUAACCCUGCUGUCAACGUAAUUAUAUUUUAUCAUUUUAUGUAUCGUUUUGUUUUGUCUUGAAAAGCAUAUGGUAAUAUCGUAUCAUUAUUUUUUAUUAUUUAAUUGUUUCUUAUACACACUUAUUUAUUAUUAUUAUCGUUAUUGACGUAUCCCUGAGUUAAAUUUGUAUGAAUAAUAAAAAUUAAACCCUGUAAA
rnacentral:lncRNA from 1 species